UCUUGGCCCUCAUUUGGAGGAAGCUUUGCUAUUGGGCUCCUGACCUGGCCUCUGGGACUGCCUUAGAACUGGCUUCCUGGGUAAAAAGAGGGUAAUUGUUCCUGCCCUGCCUACCUUAUAGACUGCUGGGCCACAGGGGAUGGUGGAGAUGGAAACCUCAAAGCCCUGACUUGGGGUGCUCAUGUCCUGGCUAAAAGGAGAAGAAAGGAGAAGACAAAUCAAAGUCAUGAUUUUUUGAAGUCUUUCGUUAAAGCUAGUCAAUUUUCCUCUUGGUACAGGGGAAACCUGGAAGGGCACCCACAGAAUAAGUAUCAUCAAGUUGGGCAAGUCUUAGAAGGCUCUCAGUCACCUCCUGACCACUUGUUCCAGGAAGACAACAUCCCUCCCCAAAGUUCAAAGUUUUUGAACUAGUUUGGGCCAGAAGUUGAGCUCUGUAGGUAACCUCAACUGCAAAAAAAUAAGGUGGAAGUGCAAGGGAGUAGGAAGAUGAGAAAGGCCAAAAGAAAAGGAAGGAAACUUUGCAAGGGAUGCUGCGGCUUUCCCACUGGACAAAGAAGCAUAUCUAAUCUCUGGAUAAUGCCCUUCACAGAAAACCGUUUGGUGCUUAGGAAAUAGAAAACAAAAACAUCUUCACAGAGAAAAGGCAACUCAAUUCAAGCAAGUUUCAGAACAGGGCUGAGAGAAGAGAUUGAGGAGGUUAAAAAGGAACUAGUGUGUGUCUCUCCCUCCCUAAUCAGCCUCUUCCCCCACCACCUUUCCCUUUCCUGAGCAGAAUGUUCUCUGGCCUGGCAACAAUGGAGAAUUAAGGAGGGGAGUUUUAAACUGAACAGACCCUACUUUUAGAACAGUGUAGUAGUCUUUUUAGUACAUAGUAGGAUCUCUCUCUCUCUCUCUCUCUCUGUGUGCCCCUCCCUCCCUCUCACUCCCAAUCUAAAUGCCUACAUUCCUUGUACUCUC
rnacentral:lncRNA from 1 species